rnacentral:rRNA from 1 species
UUGGAGGGCAAGUCUGGUGCCAGCAGCCGCGGUAAUUCCAGCUCCAAUAGCGUAUAUUAAAGUUGUUGCAGUUAAAAAGCUCGUAGUUGAAUUUCGGGGUCAAUAAGUUGGUCGUGCCAAUGGUAUGUACUGGCUUUAUUGAUUCCUACCUCUUGACGAACUGUGAUGCCAUUAAUUUGGUGUUGCAGGAAAUCAGGACUGUUACCUUGAAAAAAUUAGAGUGUUUAAAGCAGGCUUACGCUUGAAUACAUUAGCAUGGAAUAAUGAAAUAGGACGUUUGAACCUAUUUUGUUGGUUUCUAGGAUCGACGUAAUGAUUAAUAGGGAUAGUUGGGGGCAUUAGUAUUCAAUUGUCAGAGGUGGAAUUCUUGGAUUUAUUGAAGACUAACUACUGCGAAAGCAUUUGCCAAGGAUGUUUUCAUUAAUCAAGAGCGAAAGUUAGAGGAUCGAAGACGAUCAGAUUCCGUCGUAGUCUUAACCAUAAACUAUGCCGACUAGGGAUCGGAUGAUGUUAAUUUUUUAAUGACUCAUUCGGCGCCUUACGGGAAACCAAAGUGUUUGGGUUC